GACGAACGCGGCGGCGUGCCUAAUACAUGCAAGUAGAACGCUGAAGGAGGAGCUUGCUCUUCUGGAUGAGUUGCGAACGGGUGAGUAACGCGUAGGUAACCUGCCUGGUAGCGGGGGAUAACUAUUGGAAACGAUAGCUAAUACCGCAUAACAUUGACUAUUGCAUGAUAGUUAAUUGAAAGGUGCAAAUGCACCACUACCAGAUGGACCUGCGUUGUAUUAGCUAGUUGGUGGGGUAACGGCUCACCAAGGCGACGAUACAUAGCCGACCUGAGAGGGUGAUCGGCCACACUGGGACUGAGACACGGCCCAGACUCCUACGGGAGGCAGCAGUAGGGAAUCUUCGGCAAUGGACGGAAGUCUGACCGAGCAACGCCGCGUGAGUGAAGAAGGUUUUCGGAUCGUAAAAGCUCUGUUGUAAAGAGAAAGAAACGAAGUGUGAGAAGUG
rnacentral:rRNA from 1 species